UACCUGCUAAAUGACAGACAGUGAUAUUGGGCACUGCUGCUAGAGUGCUUGUGCUUGAGAAUAGGUGUCUCAAUUAGAAGUUAGGGGGCUUAGCUUAUAAUGCUGGGUGUAGUUUGACAUGGGGUGGUAGUAACUCACUGACGGUGGAACAAGAGGCAGUCAAAAUAAGUGUUAACCAAGCCGCACCACAUCUGAGAACCCAUGCAAUCGUUUUUGAGUGGAUCCUGUAAGUAAUAACCAAGCAGGGGAUUUUUCCCUCGUUUCCAGAUUGUGUGCAAUUUUUCUCUUCUUUGCUUUCAUUCCUGGAGGUGCAGUGGAGGUGUGCUGUGCAGCCUGAAGGGAGAGAGCGACAUUUGUGUUCUAAGCUGAGAGGUGCAUCUAUUCUCUGAUCCUCUUAGCGAAAUAAGAAGAGAACUUUUGAAGGAAGAGGUUUCUAGUGAAAAACUUGGUGAUAUAUAUAAUUUUAUUUCAGGAAGCGCAUACAGCCAUAAGCAACCUGACCAGUCGCGUCGCUUCCCACUCCUGACGCACGCACACAAACCCAGCUUUGUGCCCUAGGCACAUGCCUCAUCUGCCUACCCCUAGUUCCGGCCCUAGUUCCAGCUCUCUGAUACAAUAUAUCUGCAUUUAACAGUGGAACUAGCAAUGCAGAACCAAAAUAUAAUACUUUGGUUGAGGUCUUCUUUUCAACUUUACUCCAAGUACUAGAAAAUAAGACUUUGGUACUAGGUUUUAUUUUGCUUCUAAUUCAGGGCAGAACUGACAAAAUGCAGCCCUUACAGAUCACAUGCUGGGACAGUAAAUUCCCUAAAUGCCUCUACUUUGGUGUAUAAUCCUGGAUGAAUAUAACUGAUAUUUCAGUGUUUCACAUUCCCCACCAGUGAAAGCUGGAAGAAAGAACUGACAGCUCAGUCAUGUCUCAGUCAUGUGGCUCAUAUUGUGGACAUGGGGUUGGGGUUGGUUGGGAUUUAGAAUUUUUAAAAAUUUCCCAGAAUUAUGUGCAUAGCAGGACAAUUGCAAUAAGACUUAAGGGGACUCCCUUCAAGUACUCAACAGGUUGUCAAACUGUCAUAUUAUAAUGCAGUAAUAUAAAUGGCACGGCUUUACAGUAAUUAUAUUUCUGUUUUUAAUAUUGCUUCCUUUCUCCUUGCCCACAGCGUGAAAAGACAAAAAUGUGAAGAAUAACAUGUCUGGCCUUAAUCUUUGGACUAGCCUUGCCACUGGCUAAUGCUGGAUGUAAUUUUUGCAAAGUCAAUAAAAUUUACAGAGAAUAUGGAUGGCUCCAAAGGUCUCUGGACAUAGUGAACGAUCUAACAGUCACCAGCAAAUCUUCAGAGUUAAACUUCAGCCUUUUGCAGCUGAAGGUCAAACGUCUGACCUGAAGUGCAAACUUUAACAGUUAGAAUGAGUGAAAACACUGUACAUGCCGCUUUAAUGGUUCCAUUGAUAUAGCAAUACGGAAUUCAGGCUUUCAGUUAACCCCCAAGCUACAUUGCAAAUGCCUAUGGUUAUUUGAUAUUUGAUGUAUCUGGAGUGUAUGUCAAUGGAAAGCAGAGAUUCCAAUAUGGUGGCUUGACCAUAAGUGGGAAAGGAAGACUUACAGUUCAAGUUUUAAGAGCAAUAAAGAGAAUAUAGACAUAAUAGCAAUACAAUACUUGAUGUGAAUGACUCCCGCAAUCUACCAAGUUAAAAUCAUCCAUGUUCGUUGGACUAUCUAGGGUUAAAAUGUUCACUUGAUAUGUGGGUGUGUUCUGGUGAAGGUUCACUGGUGGGUGAGUCUAUAAAUUUGUCUACACUUGCACAUAUUUGUCUACACUUGCACAUUAAAUUUAUCUUGAUAAAGGUCCCUUUGUGGACCGAAACAUCGAUCCAAUAAAAUACGUUUUAUUUUGAUAAAUCCCAGUGUGCUGCAGCUUUCUUCAUGAUUAUACAAUUUUCUC